GCUGGGUGUAGUGGUCUGCUUGUAGUUCCAGCUACUUGGGAGGCUGAGGGAGGAGGAUCACUUGAGUCCAGGAAUUCUGGGUUGUAGUGUGCUAUGCCUAUCAGUUGUCUGCACUAAGUUUGUCAUCAAUUUCAUGGCCUCCCGGGAGUAGGAGACCACCAGGUUCUCUAAGGAGAGGUGAACCAACCCAAGUUGGAAAUGGAGCAGGUCAAAACUGCCAUACUGGUCAGUAGUGGGAUCUCACCUGUAAAUAGCUACUGCAUCCAGCCUGGGCAACGUAGUGAGAUCCUAUCUCUA
rfam:Nomascus leucogenys chromosome 16, whole genome shotgun sequence.